UAUUUUUUCCCCAGUUUUGAGGUUUAUAUAAACAUCAGGUUAAAUACAUACAGUAGAUAAAAAUAAUGGCCUUUGCAUGCAAGGCACUCCCUAUUCUUUCAGCAAAUAUGAAGUCACACACACUUGUCUGUCACACUAUACUUCACACACUUUCUAAACACCAAAUAUGGAGUCUUUGCUCUGUGAAAGUUUAGAGUAGCUUGCAUUCAAUGGAUGAAUGGAUCAUAGCGUAUCCCCAGUCUUGUUUCUGGAAAUCUCACUUAAAGUUCAGUUCCAACCCUAAUCUAAUUAAGAGUCAGGAACAAUUCAUAGUUACAGAAAGGUUUGCUGGAGCAGGAUUGACACUGAACUCUGCACGAAGAAAUAGGGUUGUGAUGAGUGGGGCGGGGCCGCGAGCCAUGAGAACGGAAUGAGGCCAGUGGAGUGACUGGAAAUGAGCGACGCCUGCUCCACUCACCGGUCUCGCGUCCCGCGGUGAAGAUGGAAGGAUACAAAAACGGGUGCGACGACAGUGAACAACGAGAGAGGGCCAGGCCAGGCCAUGAUUUUAGUUUGUGUUUGGUUUUUGUUUGUAAGCGACAGUCGUCCGUGAAGGGCUGUCGCAGUGUUUUGUGUUUAUUUUGUUAUUAAAAGCCUUAUUUGAUUGAUGGCCAGUUUCCGCCUCCUUCUUCCUGUGGAUAAAAAGUUUUGUACUCCGCUAUAGGGGUCUUUAUAGCCCUCUUAAUCGCCAUAUGGACCCAUAUCUCAAAAAUGCUUUAGCAAAAUGAUUUUUUGUGUAUAUAGUAUGGGACGUCCCUGAUAAGAACUGACCAUUGUUUUUUUCUAUUUAUUAGAAAUAUGAUCUUUAUAACCCUUUAAAGUGUAAUAAUGUCCCAUAUCUCAAAAAUGCUGUUGUACAAUGGUUUGAUAUGAAGUUUGCAUAUAGUAUGCGAAGUCCCUUAUAAGAACUGACCAUUGUUUUUUUCUACUUGUUAGAAAUGGGAUCUUAAAAGACUUGUAAAGUGUAAUAUUAUCCUAUAUCUCUAAAAGGCUCCAGUAAAAUGGUUUUAUGUGAGGUAUGGAUAUAGUAUGGGAUGUCUUCUUUAAGAACUGACCUUUAAUUGCUUCUUUCUCAUCAUAAAAAAGUGUCUUCUAAAUCAAUGAAUGUCCCAUAUCUCGUUUUCUACUAAUAAUUGCAAUGCUUUGAAAGGCUGAAAAUUAUAGUAAUACAGAGCAGUCAAGGAAAAAAAUAAGUUACACGAAUAUUAGAGCAGAUGGGCGAAAAAGGUCGUCAUAGAUCAAAUCUGAACGUAUAGAUGAAAAGCGCUCUGAAAGCGCGUUCCCUCUCUGUUGUUCCUGCUAUUGCCGUAAUUAUAGUAAUACACGCGCAUAUAAAUUUCACUCGCGGCUGGCUUGACGGUGUUUUUCUGAAGUGCGGCUGGCUUGACCGCAGUAGGGACAGUAGCAGGCGGUUAUGAAGCAGACGAGGAGGGGGAAGAGUCGAGGCCACAGGAGGAACGUUACGUUGCUAUCAGAGCCAACUGAAGCCGAACUUUGGUGCUUCAAGGACUAUGCCUUUGGUUUGGAGAUGUCUCUGCUUUCUUUACGACACUUUGUUUGAUGUCCGAUGAUCACAGCUCAAUUCUUGAUGUGCCAGUGGGGAUUUUGAUAGUUGAAGAUGGGACAAGAUGGGUCUCCCUCUUCGAUUGGAUUCAUAAUCGAGGGAAAAUUAGUGAUGAACAAUCUACAUGACCUUCCUGAAGCAAUGUGCCUUCUGUUCGGACUAAUAAAUGCAUUGCACCUGAGUUACCCAAAGUCGCUGAGAGACACGUUUGACUUCAUUCAGCGGAUUCUACUUUCCUUGGGGCAGAAAGACCUGCAGCCUAAAACACAGUCGUUGGCAAACCAGCUGUUUGGUUUAAUUGGAGAAAUUGCUUGGCGCAUUUUUAAUAGCAACACAUUUACAUUACACAUGGUCCUUUAAAAAAGACUGAGACUGUUAAAAAUACGAGUUUACUCUUUUAUUCAUGUGUCUUUUUAAAAUGAGCUUACUGUUUUGUAAAAAUGUGAGCUUACUGUUAUAAAUAUGAGCUUAAGGUUUUUUUUGUAAUGUGAGCUUAAUGUUUUGUAAAAAUGUUAGCUUACUGUUAAAUAUGAGCUUAAUUUUUUAAUGUGACUUAAAAAUGCAGCUUCCUGUUAAAAAAAUGAGCUUAAAGUGCUGUUCAAGUGUCUUAAUGUGACUUAAAAAUAUAAGCUUGAUAUUACCAAUGUUUCUUAAAUUAAUGUAAAUGUAUAAACCAAAUAAA